CACGUACUCCCUCCGUUCAGAAUUACUUGUCGCAGAAAUAGAUGUAUCUAGACGUAUUUUAGUUUUAGAUACAUCCAUUUCCGAGACAAGUAAUUCCGAACGGAGGGAGUAAGAC
rnacentral:pre_miRNA from 1 species